UACGGAGGGUGCAAGCGUUAUCCGGAUUCACUGGGGUUAAAGGGUGCGUAGGUGGGCAGGUAAGUCAGUGGUGAAAUCUCCGGGCUUAACUCGGAAACUGCCGUUGAUACUAUCUGUCUUGAAUAUCGUGGAGGUUAGCGGAAUAUGUCAUGUAGCGGUGAAAUGCUUAGAUAUGACAUAGAACACCCAUUGCGAAGGCAGCUAACUACACGAUCAUUGACACUGAGGCACGAAAGCGUGGGGAGCAAACAGG
rnacentral:rRNA from 1 species